CAUUUCUCGUAUGUAGUUAAACAUUAGUCUACAAUCUCGCUUUGACGCUUGUUUGCACGGUUUAUAAUAUUUUGCAAAUUUGAAUUUAAAAAUACGAAACUCGGCCAAAAAUUAUUAUCAUUUCUAACUGCGAAUCGAGUCCGGGUUUUACAACACUUUACACAGCAUAAUAUGAAUUAUUUAGGUGGAAUUUUUUUUAUCAUAUAUCAGCGAUUAUCUACAAAGGAUUAUGGUAAAAUAAUAUUGGUUUUCUUUCUGUGUUUUUUUAUAGAACCGUCAAACGAUCUUGUUUAUAAUAUUUUCGAAAUUCGACCCUUAUCCCGU